rnacentral:rRNA from 1 species
AUACGGAGGAUCCGAGCGUUAUCCGGAUUUAUUGGGUUUAAAGGGUGCGCAGGCGGGAGAUUAAGUCGGCGGUGAAAUUUUGCAGCUCAACUGUAAAAGUGCCUUCGAAACUGGUUUUCUUUUGUGUAGGUUAAGUAGGCGGGAUUUGUGGUGUAGAGGUGAAAUGCAUAGAUAUCACGAGGAACUCCGAUUGCGCAGGCAGCUUACUAAACUACUACUGACGCUCAGGCACGAAGGCGUGGGGAUCAAACAGGAUUAGAUACCCUGGUAGUCCACGCAGUAAACGAUGAUUACUAGCUGUUUGCGAUACAAUGUAAGCGGCUGAGCGAAAGCGUUAAGUAAUCCACCUGGGGAGUACGUUCGCAAGAAUGAAACUCAAAGGAAUUGACGGGG